rnacentral:rRNA from 1 species
UACGUAGGGGGCAAGCGUUGUCCGGAUUUAUUGGGCGUAAAGAGCGUGUAGGCGGCCAGGUAGGUCUGCUGUGAAAACUCGAGGCUUAACCUCGAGAUGUCGGCGGAAACCACUUGGCUAGAGUCCGGAAGAGGAGAGUGGAAUUCCUGGUGUAGCGGUGAAAUGCGCAGAUAUCAGGAAGAACACCUAUGGCGAAGGCAGCUCUCUGGGACGGUACUGACGCUGAGACGCGAAAGCGUGGGGAGCGAACAGG